rnacentral:rRNA from 1 species
GAGCGGCGGACGGGUGAGUAAUGCUUGGGAAUAUGCCUUAUGGUGGGGGACAACAGUUGGAAACGACUGCUAAUACCGCAUGAUGUCUACGGACCAAAGUGGGGGACCUUCGGGCCUCACGCCAUAAGAUUAGCCCAAGUGGGAUUAGCUAGUUGGUGAGGUAAUGGCUCACCAAGGCGACGAUCCCUAGCUGGUUUGAGAGGAUGAUCAGCCACACUGGGACUGAGACACGGCCCAGACUCCUACGGGAGGCAGCAGUGGGGAAUAUUGCACAAUGGGCGCAAGCCUGAUGCAGCCAUGCCGCGUGUGUGAAGAAGGCCUUCGGGUUGUAAAGCACUUUCAGUAAGGAGGAAAGGUUAAGUGUUAAUAGCACUUAGCUGUGACGUUACUUACAGAAGAGCACCGGCUAACUCCGUGCCAGCAGCCGCGGUAAUACGGAGGGUGCGAGCGUUAAUCGGAAUUACUGGGCGUAAAGCGUACGCAGGCGGUUUGUUAAGCGAGAUGUGAAAGCCCCGGGCUC